AGGUUAAGUUACAAAGGGCGCACGGUGGAUGCCUUGGCACUAGGAGCCGAUGAAGGACGGAACUAAUACCGAUAUGCUUCGGGGAGCUAUAAGUA
rnacentral:rRNA from 1 species